rnacentral:rRNA from 1 species
GUGCCAGCCGCCGCGGUAACACGUAGGGGGCAAGCGUUGUCCGGAAUCACUGGGCGUAAAGGGUGCGUAGGCGGUAUGUCAAGUCAGGUGUGAAACCCCAUGGCUUAACUGUGGGCUUGCACAUGAAACUGGCAUGCUUGAGUGCAGGAGAGGAAAGCGGAAUUCCUAGUGUAGCGGUGAAAUGCGUAGAUAUUAGGAGGAACACCAGUAGCGAAGGCGGCUUUCUGGACUGUAACUGACGCUGAGGCACGAAAGCGUGGGGAGCAAACAGGAUUAGAUACCCUGGUAGUCCACGCUGUAAACGAUGGAUACUAGGUGUAGGGAUUUAAAUCUCUGUGCCGGAGUUAACGCAUUAAGUAUCCCGCCUGGGGAGUACGGCCGCAAGGCUGAAACUCAAAUAAAUUGACGG